CUCAUAGCCCCUUGCCCUUUCCUACCGAACCCCUCUCACUUCACAGCCCACCCCUUCUCUUUCUUGCUCAAAAAUUCGCUCUAUUCUCCGGCAGCCUCACGGUCUCAGUCCAAAGCCAGGUCCAAUCCACAACCCCUAAUGAAUUCCUCUCUUGCCCCAAGGAGGGUUCUGGAGAAAACUACAAUGGCUAAAACCUGUCUUUGAAGUUUGAAACAGGGAUCCUCCAUGAGCUUGGCCACAUAUAUCAUUUUGGUGACUCAAUUUCAUGUUCAAAUGCAUGACACCAACUAAAUUAUUUAAAGAAACCUAAAAGCCCCAGGUACUAAUCACUGUGGGCACUUGAAAUCUCCUUUACUCAUCUUUCUAUAGUAUCUAUACAACUAUCAAAUCCGAGUCACAGAAACCAAGGAAAUCAACCAAUAUAAUGUACAACAGAACAAAGCCAUAUAUCAAACUUUAAUGAAACAAAUUAUGACGAAAAUGGAAAUUCUGAUGCUCUAGAUCAUUAUGUUCACAAUAGAAAAAAAAUCAGUAACUAACCACUAUGGACCUUUUUUUUCCGUCUCUUGAGGGAUCAUUUGGAUCCCUGAAAAAGUAUUUCCUGUAAUGUAUUUCUAUGGAAAUUACUGGUUUCCAGUGUUUGGAUCUAAAUUUUGGCAUGGAAAAAUGUUUUGGCCUAAAAAUCGUUUCCCCAUUUCAAGCCAAAAAUGAAGAAAUCUGUACUCCAGGCUUCAGCUAAAAAAUUGUUUUCUCUUCACAUUUCCCCGACGGAGCUGAAAUUAGAAAU
rnacentral:lncRNA from 1 species